rnacentral:rRNA from 1 species
UACGUAGGGUGCGAGCGUUGUCCGGAUUUAUUGGGCGUAAAGAGCUCGUAGGCGGUUCCGUAAGUCGAGUGUGAAAAAUCUGGGCUCAACCCAGUGGAGCACUCGAUACUGCGGUGACUGGAGUACGGUAGAGGAGUGUGGAAUUCCUGGUGUAGCGGUGAAAUGCGCAGAUAUCAGGGGGAACACCGACGGCGAAGGCAGCACUCUGGGCCGGUACUGACGCUGAGGAGCGAAAGCGUGGGGAGCAAACAGG